rnacentral:rRNA from 1 species
AGAGUUUGAUCCUGGCUCAGGACGAACGCUGGCGGCAUGCCUAACACAUGCAAGUCGAACGGAGAUAUUUGGAAGCUUGCUUCUGGAUAUCUUAGUGGCGGACGGGCGAGUAACGCGUGAGCAACCUGGCCUUCAGAGUGGAACAACGUCUGGAAACGGGCGCUAAUACCGCAUAAUACAAGAGAGUCGCAUGGCUUUUUUGUCAAAGGAGAAAUCCGCUGAAGGAUGGGCUCGCGUCCGAUUAG